CAAGUCUUGACAUCCCUCUGAAACCUCUAGAGAUAGAGGCGGCCUUCGGGAACAUUGAGACAGGUGCUGCAUGGCUGUCGUCAGCUCGUGUCGUGAGAUGUUGGGUUAAGUCCCGUAACGAGCGCAACCCUUGUCCUUAGUUACCAGCACGUCAUGGUGGGCACUCUAAGGAGACUGCCGGUGACAAACCGGAGGAAGGUGGGGAUGACGUCAAGUCACCAUGGCCCUUACGGCCUGGGCUACACACGUGCUACAAUGGUCGGUACAGAGGGUUGCCAAGCCGCGAGGUGGAGCUAAUCCCAUAAAACCGAUCGUAGUCCGGAUCGCAGUCUGCAACUCGACUGCGUGAAGUCGGAAUCGCUAGUAAUCGCGAAUCAGAAUGUCGCGGUGAAUACGUUCCC
rnacentral:rRNA from 1 species